GAUGAACGCUAGCGGCGGGCUUAACACAUGCAAGUCGAACGGUAACGGUUCCUUCGGGAAGCCGACGAGUGGCGAACGGGUGCGUAACGCGUAUGCAACCUACCUUCAACUGGGGCAUAGCCCGAAGAAAUUCGGAUUAAUACCCCAUAACCUAUCGAAUGGCAUCAGGCAGAUAGCAAAGUUUCGGCGGUUGGAGAUGGGCAUGCGUCAGAUUAGCUAGUUGGUGGGGUAACGGCUUACCAAGGCGAUGAUCUGUAGGGGGCUCGAGAGGGUGAUCCCCCACACUGGUACUGAGACACGGACCAGACUCCUACGGGAGGCAGCAGUGAGGAAUAUUGGACAAUGGAGGCAACUCUGAUCCAGCUACGCCGCGUGCAGGAAUAAGGCCUUAUGGGUUGUAAACUGCUUUUUUACGGGAAUUAAACCGCCCCACGAGCUGGGGCGCUGAAUGUACCGUACGAAUAAGUACCGGCU
rnacentral:rRNA from 1 species